CCCAGCUUGCUGGGUGGAUCAGUGGCGAACGGGUGAGUAACACGUGAGCAACCUGCCCCGGACUCUGGGAUAAGCGCUGGAAACGGCGUCUAAUACUGGAUAUGAGCUGCGAAGGCAUCUUCAGCGGUUGGAAAGAUUUUUCGGUUCGGGAUGGGCUCGCGGCCUAUCAGCUUGUUGGUGAGGUAAUGGCUCACCAAGGCGUCGACGGGUAGCCGGCCUGAGAGGGUGACCGGCCACACUGGGACUGAGACACGGCCCAGACUCCUACGGGAGGCAGCAGUGGGGAAUAUUGCACAAUGGGCGCAAGCCUGAUGCAGCAACGCCGCGUGAGGGAUGACGGCCUUCGGGUUGUAAACCUCUUUUAGCAAGGAAGAAGCGAAAGUGACGGUACUUGCAGAAAAAGCGCCGGCUAACUACGUGCCAGCAGCCGCGGUAAUACGUAGGGCGCAAGCGUUAUCCGGAAUUAUUGGGCGUAAAGAGCUCGUAGGCGGUUUGUCGCGUCUGCUGUGAAAACCCGAGGCUCAACCUCGGGCCUGCAGUGGGUACGGGCAGACUAGAGUGCGGUAGGGGAGAUUGGAAUUCCUGGUGUAGCGGUGGAAUGCGCAGAUAUCAGGAGGAACACCGAUGGCGAAGGCAGAUCUCUGGGCCGUAACUGACGCUGAGGAGCGAAAGGGUGGGGAGC
rnacentral:rRNA from 1 species